CUACGGGCUGCACCAGUGGGGAAUAUUGCACAAUGGAGGAAACUCUGAUGCAGCAACGCCGCGUGGAGGAUGACACUUUUCGGAGCGUAAACUCCUUUUAUAUAGGAAGAAGAUGACGGUACUAUAUGAAUAAGCGCCGGCUAACUCCGUGCCAGCAGCCGCGGUAAUACGGAGGGCGCAAGCGUUACUCGGAAUCACUGGGCGUAAAGAGCGUGUAGGCGGAUUAAAAAGUCAGAAGUGAAAUCCUAUAGCUUAACUAUAGAACUGCUUCUGAAACUCUUAAUCUAGAAUAUGGGAGAGGUAGAUGGAAUUUCUGGUGUAGAGGUAAAAUCCGUAGAGAUCAGAAGGAAUACCGAUUGCGAAGGCGAUCUACUAGAACAUUAUUGACGCUGAGACGCGAAAGCGUGGGGAGCAAACAGGAUUAGAUACCCUGGUAGUC
rnacentral:rRNA from 1 species